UACGUAGGGGGCUAGCGUUGUCCGGAAUCAUUGGGCGUAAAGCGCGUGUAGGCGGUCCGGUAAGUCCGCUGUGAAAGUCGGGGGCUCAACCCUCGGAUGCCGGUGGAUACUGUCGGACUAGAGUACGGAAGAGGCGAGUGGAAUUCCUGGUGUAGCGGUGAAAUGCGCAGAUAUCAGGAGGAACACCGAUUGCGAAGGCAGCUCGCUGGGACGUUACUGACGCUGAGACGCGAAAGCGUGGGGAGCGAACAGG
rnacentral:rRNA from 1 species